UAGUGCAAGGCACCUCGAGUCGACAGCUGCACGGAUAUGGCAAAGCCGCGCGUCGUCUCCAUGGAGCGUCCAUAGCGACAGCAUAGGUGUCGGUAUGGGUGCUCACGGUAGGCACUUGGCGUUGCAGCGUUUCAUAUGAGUGAACCAAUUUCUCCGUAUGCAACUCUCGGUGGCAACCAGUGGAGCUUGCAGGUUGGAUGCGGAGUGGUGCGCGCUUGCCCGCACGCCAAUAUCCGAGGUGCGCUCGGGGGUACCCCGUGUCGUGGGCACCUCUAUGGACCUGGGGAAACUCUGCGAGUCUCUGGAGCGGGUGUAUUUUUUUAGCUUAGAACUGUUUGCGUGAGUCGUCUAACGACUAGCAAGCCGGUUGCGAUUGUCUCCGCAAGUCAGAGGCGGGUGCACGCUUUCUCCUGGAGCCUGGUGCACUCGAGCAGGGCCCUAGAGCGUCACAGGUGCGACACCAGACUGCUGCAGCGGCUAACUGGGCGACGAGUCUGCAGGCGUCUCUUUGGCGUCCGCAGUGUUCGUCGCUGCGACAGUGGCAUCCAAAUCUAGGGUGAGCAUGCGACUGCAGUGACCUUCGAGAGGGUUGCGAUAAACACCAACCAGGGCAUUGGCGAACUCAAAGAACUGGUCCUUAAGCGAAAUGACGAUCGUUUGAAAUGGAUGGGACUGUACGGAACGCCCUCGAAUGUAAGUCGCCACGCGGCUUAAGUUUGCGGGGUCCAGUGCAGCGUCAAUCUCGUCCAUAAUCAAAAACGGACACUUCUGAAAGUCACGCAGUGCAAAGACAAGUGCCAGUGCCGCCAGGCUGCGUUCGCCCCCGCUGAGCUGAUCCACCUCGCGGAAGCGCUUUGCGGGGAGCAUGACGCUGAAGCGAAUGCCACCUAGGUACGGCUCCGACGCGGACUCGAGGCUGAUCGAGGCACUUCCGCCCACGGGAUGUACCUCUGAUCGUGUAAGCUCUUUGAAUACGCCAUCGAUGGAGACGGCGACAUGAUCGAAGCACUCCCGAAAGCGCCGCGUACGCUCAUCGCGCGCGUUCAACCAUCGACGAUUUGCCUCCGCAAGCGCGCCACGAGCGACCUCCUGCUCGGUGGCAACAAGGUCGAGCCUCUGCUGGAUAUCAUCGAGCUGUUGCGUGAUUCGCAGAUUUGGGGCCAUGCGCUCCAACUCUGCCACGAGACUUUGUUCCUGUUCAUUCAACGACGACUCUAUGGCCAUGCGCUCAGAGUGGCUUCUCGCAUGUCUAUGCUCUUCGCUCAAGAGCGACAUAUCCAGAUCCUCUGCAAAUAGGACAGGGUCUUCGGACUGCGCACCAGAUGGACCACGGGUGCGCGUCCGAGCGCGUGCGCGAUCGCUCGAAUGCCCAGCGCCGCGGCCCUGACCCCGACCCGCCUCUGCUGCUGUCGCGGGCGCACGCACAUCGAUCUGGUCGAUGCGACACGCAGUCUCCAGGGCGCGCAGACGCUCGGCGAUAUCCUCCUUGUUUGCGCGGUGCGUGUUCAGGGCGUUUUCCUUGGAACUGAUGUCUUCUGCCAGCUGCUUCUCUUCUUCGCGCAUCUUUUCCAGAGCUUCCUCUAUUUUUGCCAGUUGUUGCUGAAUAUGCUCUUGUUGUUGCAGUGCCUCCCGGAUACUGUGCUCGAGUGUUUCCUGCUCACGCUCUAGGCGUUCAAUCUGGGUGUCCAGCUCAGCUCUGGCUGCGGUGGCCUUUUGGACGCGCUCGACGAGGUCCUGCUCGCUGGUUUCUGCUUCUCUGGCGUAUUCGUAUUCUAAACGAGCGCGCAGUUUGGCUUGCUGGGAGGUCAGCGCCAGGCGACGCUCGCGGAACUCUUCGUUUCGGUGAAUACUCUGCGGGGAAAUAUCUCCGAGUAUUUCUCGCUCUGCGCGUUCGAUUCUUUCUUUGAUCUGGGAUACAUUUGCGACGCCUUGUUCGAGUUGAUGCCGGCAUUGUUCCUCGCUGACCUUGGCUUUGGAGACUUGUUCGUGAAGCGCAUUCAGCUGGGAGCUGACUUUGACAGCACGUUCCUCAUUUUGUUGCAGCUCGUGUCGUAAAUA